GACGAACGCUGGCGGCGUGCUUAACACAUGCAAGUCGAACGCUGAAGCUCAGCUUUUGUUGGGUGGAUGAGUGGCGAACGGGUGAGUAACACGUGAGUAACCUGCCUCCUUCUUUGGGAUAACGCCCGGAAACGGGUGCUAUUAUUGGAUAUUAACUGGUCUUCGCAUGGGGGUUGGUGGAAAGGGUUGUUUUGGUGGGGGAUGUGCUCGCGGCCUAUCCGCUUGUUGGGGGGGUGAUGGCCAACCAAGGCUUUGGCGGGUAGCCGGCGGGGGAGGGUGACUGGUACUAAGGGGAGUGAGAUACGGCCCAGACACCGACGGGAGGGAGCAGUGGGGAAUAUUGCACAAUGGGGGCAAGCCUGAUGCAGCGACGCCACGAGAGGGUUGGGGGCCUUCGGGUUGUGAACCACGUACGCUCAUAGUCAAGCGGAAACAAUGGUUGUGGGGAGGGUAGUGGUCAAAGAAGCGCCGGCUAACUACUU
rnacentral:rRNA from 1 species